UUCUGGGGGGAGUCCAGAGUUAGAUGUGGGUUUUCGACUGGGUGGGGGCUGAUGCCUUCCCAACCCCCACAUUAUUUAAGGGUCAACUAUAUCCACCCUUCAGACCAUCAUCUCUAUUCAUAUUCCAAGUAUUUUUAGAAUGUGGUCCUAGUUUUAGAUUUUAGAAAGUUUCCCCUUGAGAUUUUCUCAAGCUUUGUGCAAAAACUGGAGGAGGAGGGCUUAACGAUGAUAUGAAGGGACGUCGUGAGCCAUGUUCACCCCUAGCCAAGGGGGGAAACACAGCAGUUGCCUAGCAGACUGCAGCAGAGAUCAGCUCAGGCUCUCACCUCUUGUCUCCACAGGAAAGAGGGCAAGGCAGCUGGGCGUCCUCAGAAAGGAGAUAGAGGGGUGACCAUCAGUGCUGCAGAGAGCGCAGGGCUGCGUAAACAGGGUCAGGGCAGGGGUGCUAACUGGGACAGACUAGUGUGGAAAGGCACACCUAAUACGGGACAGCCAGCAUGAUCUGAAACCAUGAGCGUCACCCACAAUACUUAGGUAUUUAUAGACACAUUUUUAAGAAAGAAAAGAAAGAAUUCUUAACGGUUUGGCACAGUUUUAGUCCUCAAGGGCGCCUAAGAAAAGAGGCACCCUUUAAAAGUUACUGUGAGCUUUAGAUGAGCCUCUUGUUGUUAACAUACAUAGGGGACUGAAGGACACUCAUUAAGGGCAGAAGGACACACAUGGGGACAGAAGGACAGAAGGGACAGAAGGACACACAAAUAGGAGACAGAAGGACACAUGGGGACAGAGGGACACACAGGAGACAGAAGGACAUGUGGGGGCAGGACACACAUGGGGACAGAAGGACACAUAGGGCAGAAGGACACUCAUAGGAGAGCAAAGGACACACGGGACAGAAGGACAACACGGGGACAGAAGGACACACAUUGCUAGGAUGGGACAGGACAGGGUGGGAGGUGGGGUGGAGAGAACUAGAAUGAUGAAGACCAACACAGCCAAGGUCACAGUUACCCAGCUCUCCUGAAGGUCAUUUAUUGAGCUCUGACUGAGAUCAACAGGUUAGGGUAGAGAAUCUGCAACUUCCCCGAAAAAAUUUCAAGGAAGAGGAAAGUAGGGAAAGUGAACGCGUAUCCGCAGGGAUUUGGAGCCAUGACCCCAUGCGUUUCCUCUGGUGAAAUAAGGUCAGUCAGUCAGUCAUGCUCCUUUUUGCUUCAGAAAAGGCAUUUUUGUCUGUUUGUGUUGAAAGAACACUGUGAAUUUAAGAAACUAGGAGGGGAGUGGGGACCAGAAAGGUUUCUAGCCUGCUCAUCCUGCACUCAGAAUCCCAGGUAUUUGAGGUAUUACCCUAACGAAACAAGGCUGCUUUACUCAUGACCUUUAAACAUGUCAGAAAAUGUUUUGAGAAAUGACAGCAUUGUUAAAUAAACAUAUAGCCGCCUCCCAAGAAGGCAGCACUUACUUGAAUAUUUAAGUUAAAAUUUAAACAUCUGUAACCGAAUGAAUGUUGUAGAUGAGGUUAAGCACAAAUUCCUUCCUUUGAAAAGUGAAAAAUCAUACCUGGGCCUCUGCGGUCAUUGAAACUAAUAGCGCCCAGUUCCCGUACUGCCCAGGGCUCCUUCUGCAUAGGAACAGGUGGAGGAGGAUGGGGUCGAUCGAGAUAAAAAUCUCUUCCAUGAAUGUAAGUGAUAUGACCGUUUCUGAAUUCCCACAGUAAUUUAGACGUACUGUCAGCGUGGGUUAGAAAUGGGGAGGAGAGGGUGGUGGAUGUAAAAUGCUUUAACUUCCAGCUGUUUGCCUCAGAAUCUAGCUGAGUAGCUUGGAUGCAAAGGUCACACGAAGGAGACGUUCACCUGCUGGCUUGCAAUGCCUCUUCCUUUAGGUUGAUCUUCCUCUCUGGUGUCCCCCACACGGCCUUGCAUGGGCCACGGGACAAUUCACGUGCUUGGAAGAUUUCCCUGGUGACCGUUGGAGAGACGCGGGCGUCCUACAGCCUUGCCUCUGAGUGCCAGGACCGUGUUGACGCAGGGACAGCAGAGCAGGCCCUGACCUAAGGAGCUCCCCGUCUCUGGGGAGGCAGCGCCACAGGAUUACAUCAAGUUGACCAUGGUAAUGUUGGACAUGGCAAAGUGUUUGUCUAACGAGAACUGAGCUGGAUGAAAAUACCUGAAAACAAGGCAAAAUCAGCCAGGGUGGUGAUGAGAUCUGCUUUCUCUCUUCUUACAUCAGUGAGCUGGGCGGUAUCGUGCAUAGUGGUGAUGAUGACAGGUUGAUUAGUAGGGCCAGACCAAGUGUGAAAUCGUUCACACCACUGCUCUGUUUCCAGGAGCCACGGUGAGAAGACAUGUAGACGCAUAUCACAACACCGAGUUGUGUGCCUUCAUGUAUGGAAAUGAUUUUUGUCACGUAGACCUCAAUAAAGAAAACAAAUGAGCUUCACGCUUUGUUUCGAAGAGACUGCACGCUCUCUUGCUUAACAAGCCGUCAGCUCGGCUUUUCGUUCGGUGGCUUCUCCCUUUCAACAGCGGUAUCGAGGAUGAAAAGAAAAACAAAAAGUAUUCCUUUCCCUCAAGGGCACAUGACCUACGCACGAAAGCCGUUACCUUGGCGUUGCCUUGGGAGACGCGCCAACAGGAACCACAUGAGUGCAGGGGCCUCGGAGCUUCGCAGGGGGCCCUGGAGGAAGAGCGGCCGGGCUGCCCACACCUGCCCACACCCUCCCAGCAGCAGCCACCGGAAAUAUUCGUCGUGUCUCAUUCUGCCUUCUCCUUGCGGGAUCCAGCGAGGUAAUACGUGUAAACUGACGAGAGACGCGCCUGGGACACAGGGAGCGUUCUCCGCACGGCAGCCCCGGGUCACGUCUCAGCUGGCGCGGAGUGUCAUCUCCCAAGCGGCACUGUGGUUCGGCCAGGUUCCCGGGGGAUCAGGCAGCACAGACAGACAGAAGCUGGCUGUGCGCAUCCGAGCUGCGAGGCCUCCCAGCCGCUCCAAGUUCACUUCCUUCUCAUUUCAAGGUCUAAUGGACUUGCAGAAUUUGUCACCGUCUGCACACCGCCACUUCCCCAGGCACCAAGGCCGGGCUCUGAGCUGAUCCCAGACCCUUUCCUGUACCUUGUACCUCACGUCCCUCCUUCGUUCAGCUGGUGUUUAUUACAGCUGCCAUCAGUCCCGGGCAUGCUGGCAGGUGCGGGACCUGGGCCAGGCGAUCAGUCCCGGGCAGCACUCACCAGGGGUGGAGCCGGAACAGACAACAAGACCGAGUCUGUGUCCUGACAUCACUCCUGCUCUUUGUUGUCCAGUCAGGGACACCAUCUACAAACGAGAGGAAAUUAUACGGUCAGGUGACAAUCUGUACCCUGCAGAAACAUGCACACGGGUUAGGAAAUGGGGGGGCUUUAAGGAAACCUGACCGUACCUGUCUCCCCGCAGCAUCUCUGCGCCAUGUCAUUUCCUUCCCAUCAUCCAGACCCUGGAUCAUUGGUUCUGUACCUCUUCGUGUCCUACUCGCGUCCCAGUGGACCAGCUGGACUGGCCGCGUCUUCCUCUGUGGCCGCACACAAGUGUCACAGCUCCUGCCCCACCACACAUGCACCUGCUUGUUACCCAUGUGCUCCGCCCUUCCUGCCCUCACCCCCUACUGUGUCCCCGUCCCCCAUCCCCGCGGGGAUGCGACACCCUCCCUCCGCGGUCUUCCCUCCCCCAUGGGCACCACUGAAAUCCCUUCUUCGUAAACCCUGAGUUCCCCUUCUUCCCCUGGUUACAGCCCGUCCUGCGCACUCUUCUCCCCUUCUUUCCUGACUCCGUCCCAGUCAGGCCUUGGACCUCAGCAGCGCUUCUGUGGAGGUCCCCAGUGACACCCGCCCUGUGGGUCCGGAGGGCUGUCGUCGGCCCCACACGGUGGACAGACUCUCCCGACUUUGUUUCCAGACGCCGCAAGGUUCUUCGUUUGCCUCCUGCCUCCUGGGCUCCUCUCUCCCUCAUCCCUGGCUUUACUUCCAUCCCACAGAUCGGGGUUUGGUUCCCUUGUGUGCAGUGCACUCAGGCUCUUGCUGUCAGCGCUCAGCCCUCACGCCGUCUGUGUCCAGCCCGGGACCCUCCACAAGUCCACGCUCAGGGGUCCAGUUGGUCUCCAAACCCGCUGUCUCGCGUCCGCAUCUUCAUAGACGACGACGCUGUCCAGACGCUCAAACCAGAACCUGGAGUUGUUACUCUCUUUCCCAUCCAACCCUCACAUCCUUCAAGUCUUGGCUCGAGGUCACCUUCCCAUUGACUCCUUUCCUGCCCUGAUUCAUGCUCCCGCUUUCCCGGGGCCGACGUGCUGGCGUUGACUCGGUGUCUCGGCUGGGAGCGGAGGGAGGGGGCUUAGAGGGCUCAUAUUCCGACUUCCCCACGAAAGUGGUCCUUACCCCCCAGGCCAAGCCCCCACCGUGAGGUCCCCCUUUGGGGAUGAGGGGUGUGUAUGCUGCGGUGGCCUGCAGAGCGGGCGGGCGCCUGUGAGCUGGCCUCCACUCGUACUCCGCCCUCUGCGGCCCUCUGUAAGGGGACCUGUGCUGUCACCUCAGGUGUCCAUUAGUCAUGUCAGACCCAGUGCUCGAGGACUCUUCAAGUAUCUGGUCAUUCCCUUUCCCCAGCACACAGCUAGGUAAGUCCACGGCCGCUGGUCUCUGGGGCUGGGGGGAUCUUUACCAUGUAGAUGUGGUGUUUCCUGGAGCUUCCUCUUGGGGAUCCGGCUUCUCUUUUGGUCAUCGGGUUCCAAGUUGGAAAACUGGUUCAGAUUGAGAUAUUGGCAAAGAAUUUGUGACUUUUUAUUGAGCGGCUGGCUUUAACUUCCUUUUUAUCCAUCCUUGAUUUCUUUUGACUGUACAGGUAGAGUAGUCUGUCCUGCAUAGAGACUUUCUGGCUACGCAUCUAUUUUGCCCAUUAGGAGGCUGUGUUCUGUUACCUCUGAGUUUUCCGUAACUCUCAGUGCGUCAGGCUUCCCUGGCCUCUCCUCUCAUCUUGCCACUUGCCUUUUCCUCUUGUGAUUAGGUCCUAGUCUGGUCCUUGGCUCUGUCCCCGGUCCCCCUGCGGGCAGCGCGAACCUCUUUCUAUGCUGCCAACGAGGCCCUCUGGUUUUCACAGUAAGCAUUUGGUUACUCUUGGCCAUUUGUUUUCUUUUUCCAAAGCCCGACUUCUGCUUCAUAAGAACUGCCCGUAAGUGACUAUUUCCCCCGUAUUUCUUGAACACCUGCUAUGUCACACCUAGUGCUCAUCCAUCUAUAAAAACCCAUUCCGUUUUGUUAUUGGUGCCAGUUUUUACUAGUCCACUUACUGCCUGUGCUGGACUGUGUGUGUACCCUCAACUUCCAUGGAUGGGGUCCCCGUUUCCGAGUGGGUGGUGGCCGGUCCAGCCCCUCCCCCAUCCCAGUUUUGUUGGUCCUUCUGGUACCACGCAGUGUGGGCUGGGGUCCCCAGGACGCCCACUCUGAGCCGGCGGUCAGUACAGAGUAGGUAACCGGUGCAGGCUCUUGGGGUCACUUCCUAUAGAGGGGAGGGGAGGAGGGCAGGAAGGACGUUUGGGUUGAGGGAGACGUUGAGCAGCAAAGCAGGGUCCCUAAAGUCAGGAGGGCCUCCGGGAUCGUCCAGAGUAGGGGUGUGGGCGCAGGGCCCAAUCUGGUCAGCGACCGAGGUGGCUUCUCUGGGAAGGCAGCAUGGCCCUCAUCACUCAGGCAGGCUGUGUGGGGCCACAGUGCUCCAGCGGCUGGCCACUGAGCCCUCCAUCAGGUGCACAUGGUCAUCGGGUUUGCAUUUCCGCGGUUUUGUCCGGGGACUGGGGAACAAGAAGUGCCUGUGAGCGCUUUUCUGCCGCUGUUUGUGCCUGUCUCCCUGUAAAUCCGCCUUCUCUGCCUUAACGUCCCAGGGCCCUGAGGCCUGAAAGCUGCCAGCCCGGCCCCUCAGGUGUGAUGGAGCCUCUCUAGCAGCUGGUUUCUCCUGGACUGCCUGGGGCAUCGCGACAUCAGCUGUGACCUGCCUGGGGCCAUGAUGACAGCGGCUGUGACCUGGCUGGGGCCACUCUGAUGGCACCUGUGACCUGCCCAGGGCCAUCAUGACAGCAGCUGUGACCUGCCUGGGCUACCAUGAUGGCACCUGUGACAUGCCCGGGGCCAUGAUGACAGUGGCUGUGACCUGCCUGGGGCCACCCUGAUGGCACCUGUGGCCUGCCCGGGGCCAUCGCGACAGCAGCUGUGACCUGCCUGGGGCCAUUGUGACAGCAGCUGUGACCUGCCUGGGGCCGCCCUGAUGGCACCUGUGACCUGCCUGGGGUCAUGAUGACAGCGGCUGUGACCUGCCCGGGGCCAUCGCGACAGCAGCUGUGACCUGCCUGGGGCCACCAUGAUGGCACCUGUGACCUGCCCAGGGCCAUCAUGAUAGCAGCUGUGACCUGCCCGGGGCCAUCGCGACAGCAGCUGUGACCUGCCUGGGGCCACCAUGAUGGCACCUGUGACCUGCCCGGGGCCCAUCGUGACAGCAGCUGUGACCUGCCUGGGGCCACCAUGAUGGCACCUGUGACCUGCCCGGGGCCCAUCGUGACAGCAGCUGUGACCUGCCCGGGGCCUGUCCAUGUGCACGGUCUAGGUCUCCUCCUGUGGCUUGAACACAGCCUUCUCUGCAUGUCUCCAUUUCCCCCUUUUGGUAGACACUUGCACUUUACCUUCUAGACGUUGUCUGUGUGGUGCUUUCCGGCCCUCAGCUCCGAAACUCCUGCGCACAACCGUCAGACCGACGCCCUGGCGGCCCCUGCCCACCUCAGCCACUAGGCUGUGAGAGGAAGGGCCUGGAAGGUGCAGAAGAAACUCUGGAUUCCAGAAACCGUCCCGGAAACCCAGUCACCCCUGUCCCCAUCCGGAGCACCGCCCGCCGCCCACGUCCCCGGCAGCUGGAUAAGCAUCCUGGAGCCUGUGCCUUGUGCAUAAACCCCGUGAGCACAAAUCACUGCUGGCAGCCGGGAGCCUGCAGGGCAGGCCGUAAACGGCGUCUGUAGCUAGAGUUCCUUCUCACGAUGCUGUUUUGUGCAGUGAUGACAAAUAUUCUUUUUUGUCCUGAAGUCAGUGGGAGGCGUUGCCUUCAAGUUGUAACCUCAUUUUACCGGAGUGUCGUUUUCACAGCUGCUGUCACUUCCCGUCACCACACACUUGACCUUAUUCACCAGGAGUGCGCGGCCCCGGACCCCUGGACUUCCAGGCCCAGGAAGCUUGGUAAGAGUUGGCAGGCGUCAGUUGCUAGCAGUAGAAAAGCACACACGUUUGAUGCAGCAAAGUGGUACCUUCUCCAGAUGCCCAGCGUCGCGGGUGCAUCCGGACCGCGCAGUUCGCUUGGCCUGGCCCCGGCUGCCCAUACCCGCUGCCUCCGAACAGCAGUCCCAACCCCGUGUGGGCUGCCUUCCGAGGAAGUCUUUGCAACUCACCUUAGGAUCCAGAUCACUUUUCCAUUGGAAACAGGUAGCACCUGAAGGCAGUGUCGACGGGCAGGCCCCCAGCAUCCCCUGAACGUGCAACGUGGCUGAUGGCCGGCCGGGAUUCUGCUCCUCGUGGCCUUCGCCCCUGCGGUGCCCAGAUCCCACCUGCCCCCACAUGGUGCUCUUUCUCUUCUCGAGGACCUUGUCCUCGUCCGCCGCAGGCUCGACACCCUCCCUUGACCCCCAGCCCCCCCAGGAUGUCAAGCGUCAGUUCUGCCCCCAGACAGUCUUUCUCGUCCCCGCUGCAGAGCCGUGGUCCCCCGGUCUGGCCGCAUUGCCUCUGCCCCAACCACCACCUGGCAGUUGUCGGGUGCGGUCUCUGGCUCAUCACCACCACUCGGCGAGCCUCGUCUGCCUGCUUCUGCGCCUGCCGUUUUCUUGGCUUUGCGGGGAACUCGUGGCCACAGUUCAGCACAGGCCUGCCUCCCUGCAGCCAGAGACAGAGUCGCUCGGUCCCUGGUGUUUCCACCACCUGGCAUUAUCGCCCACCUGCGUUGGGCCGGGUGGAUAAAGAUGAGACACCCCCCUCCCCGACUCUUCCUCUCAAGAAGCUCUCUGGACAGAAACAACUUGAUGAUCAUACGGGAUGUAACUGUGUCUGGAUGCUAUCCUUUCAGGGUCCAAGGAGUAACUGGGGGCCUGGAAGUCACUAAAAUUACAUGGUAUUUGAGCUGCUGCUUGAAGGGCUCCUAGACGUUCACGAAGCGAUCCCAGGGGAGAGGGCUUAGCGGUCAGUGUUUGCAAAGGCAUAAAGGCUGAGAGGGGUGAGGGUUUUUGGAGAAUUGCAAACAGCUUCCCGUGGUUCCAGGGCAAGGCAGGUCCACGGAGCGGCGUAAACCAGGCGGUCAGAUCACAAAAGGCCUUAGCAGGCAAAAUAGGAGGUGUCCCUUUCAUCCCAUACACGUCUAUCCUUGAGCCCUGCGUCCUGCCUUAUUCUUCUCUGUGGCACCCUGUAUGUAAUGUCUUGAUGAUUUAAAAAAUAGUUUUUAUCGUCUCUUAGUGAUAAAACCUGGGAAAAUAUAGGUAAAACUAAAAGUUAAAUCUAAUAAAAUUUGCAAACACACUUCUCAUUUCCAUGCA